rnacentral:rRNA from 1 species
AUUGAACGCUGGCGGCAUGCCUUACACAUGCAAGUCGAACGGCAGCACGGGGGGUAACCCCUGGUGGCGAGUGGCGAACGGGUGAGUAAUAUAUCGGAACGUGUCCUGUAGCGGGGGAUAACCUAUCGAAAGAUGGACUAAUACCGCAUACGACCUACGGGUGAAAGCGGAGGCCCGCAAGGCUUCGCACUAUAGGAGCGGCCGAUAUCGGAUUAGCUAGUUGGCGGGGUAACGGCCCACCAAGGCGACGAUCCGUAGCUGGUCUGAGAGGACGAUCAGCCACACUGGAACUGAGACACGGUCCAGACUCCUACGGGAGGCAGCAGUGGGGAAUUUUGGACAAUGGGCGCAAGCCUGAUCCAGCCAUGCCGCGUGAGUGAAGAAGGCCUUCGGGUUGUAAAGCUCUUUCGGCGGGGACGAAACGGUUCGUGCUAAUACCACGGACUACUGACGGUACCCGCAGAAGAAGCACCGGCUAACUACGUG